rnacentral:rRNA from 1 species
UACAGAGGUCCCGAGCGUUGUUCGGAUUCACUGGGCGUAAAGGGUGCGUAGGUGGUUGGGUAAGUUUGAUGUGAAAGCUCAGGGCUUAACCCUGAAAUGGCAUUGAAUACUACUUAACUGGAGGUUUGGAGGGGGGACUGGAAUUCUUGGUGUAGCAGUGAAAUGCGUAGAUAUCAAGAGGAACACCAGUGGCGAAGGCGAGUCCCUGGACAACACCUGACACUGAGGCACGAAAGCUAGGGGAGCAAACGGG